rnacentral:rRNA from 1 species
GGCUACUACAUCCAAGGAAGGCAGCAGGCGCGCAAAUUACCCAAUCCCGACUCGGGGAGGUAGUGACAAUAAAUACUGAUACAGGGCUCUUUUGGGUCUUGUAAUUGGAAUGAGUACAAUUUAAUUCCCUUAACGAGGAACAAUUGGAGGGCAAGUCUGGUGCCAGCAGCCGCGGUAAUUCCAGCUCCAAUAGCGUAUAUUAAAGUUGUUGCAGUUAAAAAGCUCGUAGUUGAACCUUGGGCCUGGCUGGCCGGUCCGCCUCACCGCGUGCACUGGUCCGGCCGGGUCUUUCCCUCUGGGGAGCCGCAUGCCCUUCACUGGGCGUGUCGGGGAACCAGGACAUUUACUUUGAAAAAAUUAGAGUGUUCAAAGCAGGCUUAUGCUCGAAUACAUUAGCAUGGAAUAAUAGAAUAGGACGUGUGGUUCUAUUUUGUUGGUUUCUAGGACCGCCGUAAUGAUUAAUAGGGACAGUCGGGGGCAUCAGU